rnacentral:rRNA from 1 species
AUUGAACGCUGGCGGCAGGCCUAACACAUGCAAGUCGAGCGGAGCGGCGGACGGGUGAGUAAUGCAUAGGAAGCUGCCUGGUAGUGGGGGAUAACGUCCGGAAACGGGCGCUAAUACCGCAUACUAUCAGAUGAGCCUAGGUCGGAUUAGCUAGUUGGUGGGGUAAAGGCCUACCAAGGCGACGAACCGUAACUGGUCUGAGAGGAUGAUCAGUCACACUGGAACUGAGGCACCGUCCAGACUCCUACGGGAGGCAGCCGUGGGGAAUAUUGGACCAUGGGCGAAAGCCUGAUCCAGCCAUGCCGCGUGUGUGAAGAAGGUCUUCGGAUUUUAAAGCACUUUAAGUUGGGAGGCGUUACCAACAGGAUAAGCACCGGCUAACUUCGUGCCAGCAGCCGCGGUAAUAC